CACAGGUGACAAGGCUGAUGAAACAUACUUGGAAGCCAAAAACUGAACUCUCAGAAAAAUGCACUCUUGAGAGACACAGAUGAGGUUAUUUACAGAUGGCAAUCUGAAGCUCUCCUUCUGGUUUCUGCACACUGAGUGAAAAGAUGGAGAAGCACCCACAAAGCAGCUGUAGAAUAGAGAACCCAUUUCACCCUUCAGAGCUUUCCUUCUGGUUUAGUGGAAAACUCAGUGGAUGGAUGGAUAAAGCUUGCAGAAAGAAAAAUCAGCUCUUGGCUAUGUGAGGAGAUUUUAACCACAGAGUCCCAGGAGAAAUUUGAGUCAGCUUCUCUUAGCCUUGUAACAAUAGCAUGGAAGGUUGAACCUCUCACCCUGCAGCUUUAACUCUGUGUCUUGAUUUAAGACAAUUUAAGAGGUGGACACUCUAAUAUGAGUUACCUCCCUUAGUUUCAACCAAUCCCUUUCCACCAAAAUGGAGAAAUGAAAUAUGAGUAGAUAUAAGUGAAAAAAUAACAGUUUAUUAACAAGCAAAACAGCAACAGGCAAAAAGAGAAAAAAACACCAACCAACCAGUGAAUAAUCAGUAGAUCCAAAAUUGCUAAGUUCCAUGGACAGUUUGAGGUUAUUAAGAAACAUCAACUCUCUCAUACUUUCUUCAUGAGACCAAACUGACUUUGGACCUUGGAAAUGCCUGGGACUUCUGGACUUUGAUUGUGGCAAAAUCAUUAAACAAAAGUUAGCAUUUGUUUGAUAGACUGGUUUGUCAGUCCAGCCUUUUAAAGAUCACCUUGAAAAAACCAGGCAAAUGAAUCAGCUGGUCUGGGAGAAGAAAGUGUAAAAAAUCUGUAAGAGACCUUUUACAUAAGCUGCUUUUAAAAAAAGUUUUAUGGCAUAAAAUUUGCAGGUGAUCUGAAAUAGCUGGAAGCAAAUGGAAGAGAAGGCUGCUGUAAGGUGAGAGAGUUUCUGAACCUGCCCAGUGUGAAUUCCUUUCCUGUUGACUCAUGUCAGAUCUAUUCCUCUUUCCAUCUUAUUCCUUUCUAUUUUAGAAGACAUUGUUCCUAAAAUGGGUAAAUUUGCUUUUCUUCAUUCCCAAUCAAUGGCAGUUAAUGAGAACUUAAAAUGUAUGUUAGUGGUCAGUGGUGAGGUUUGGUUUUCUUUUUCCACUUAAUAUUUGGAGUUAAGUCUUUAUAAAAACUGUGCUUAGACUGCAACUUUUCAGAAGUUUAUGGCUAUCCUGAUUGAUGCUUCCUUGAGAUAUGUAACAGCAAAGCCAAAUAAUCACAAAGAGCAUGUGCUGGAUAUUUCCACCCUGGGAAUUUAAAAUUUUCUGACUUCAUUUAUGAUGCUGCAGUAUAACCACCUGGUGGAGUGAGUGAUUGCAAAGCCUGAUUAAUGGUACAAACUUUUAGACUAUAAUUUGUUACUUCUGUACUUUGUAUGCUGUUCUGUGGUGGAAAUACUUCACAGCUUUUGCCAGCUACAUUUUUCGAAAAAUCACAGCUUGCUGGAGCCUUGAUUCUGCUCUUACUGGGGGAUGUCCCAUGGUUCAUGUCUGUUUAGAUGUGGCAGGUCCAAUGAAAAUAUGUUCUCUCUAAUGAGGGCUGGAUAUAUCUGAACUCUUCUGUUUGGCAAAACCCUCAAAGCAAAGAAAAUGUGGAAUCUUUGUAGCCAAACGUAAGUGAAAUCACAUGGUGGCUCUUUCAUAGUUUGGCUUAGAAAAAAUAACCCUUUCUUGAGUAUGUGAAUGUAGAUGUCAAAGCUCUCUUCCAAGGUUUGGGGGAUUAAACAAGAGGUGAGAUGGGAAUUGUGUUCAUCUUCCUUUUCAUUCAUAUCUAGAUUUUUUUAAUGUGGCAAACAAACUUCGUGUGUCACUAAACCUGACAUGCUGAGUCUCAGGGAGAGGAAUGCUUUGUUUCAAGCAGUGUUUCAUUAAGAAAAAAAGAUCAAUUUUUUGGAUACAAAAAAACCAAAGCUUCCUGAAAGAAAUGUGCUGUUGAUCCAAUUCCAGUACUUUCAAGUUUUUGGUGCCUGCUGAAGCGUAGUAAUGCUGCAGAAGCAAAAGAAGGGAUUUUUUUUUUCACAGAUUUUAAAGAAGUUGUGACUUUUCUCAGUUUUACAAAGAGCUUCUUAGGAGUUCCAGUAUUAACUCUUUUACGCUAUCAUACAUCCAGACUGAAAAACCACUUUUUUCCCUGUGCCAAUUAUCUUUUUAGGGUUGAAGAAUUGCUACAGUUCAUGUAUACCACAAGCUCUUGAUUCAUGGGAAUAUGUUUAGCUUUUCUAUGCUCAGUCCAUGCAAAAAGUUGUACUCAGUCUUUCUGAGUUUUAAUUAUUGUCUUUUGAUUGAAUGGUUGGAUUUUGCAGCAUCAUAGCUGAUAUUAAUGCAUUUAGAACACAUAAGCCUGGAGGAUCUGAUAUUCCAGAGGAUGUUUGAGUAAGCUGAGAAGUGAGGCUGAUGUUUUACUCUUCUAUUUCAUUGCAGGUUCAGUAGUAAUUAUUCACACUGAUGAAUAGAGAAAUGGAGCAAAACGUUCUGCCCUGGGCUUUUACUGUAACUUUGAGGCUGAACAAAAUAACUACUGUUUCUUUUUCAUGGAGAGAAAUGCAGGGGAUGUGACAAAAUGUGCCUGAGGAAUAAGGUGGGUGACAAGAUCCUAUCUGUGAGGAAACCAGCAGGAGUCAAGGUAGGAUGUUCCCCAGGGCGCCAAUCAGUGCAGCCCUGUAGAGCUGGUUCAGAAAGCCUGAUGAACUGGCCCUGCCUACUGAAAUAUUUUCUCAAAAGAAUGAUCCUUAUUUCCCUUUUUUCAUGAGAGAGACAUCUACCAGAAUGCUCCAAAUAGCCCCCACCAAUAACCAAGCAACAAACUCCAAGAAAUACCUUUUUUACAGGUUGUAAUGUGGUGAUGUAAACAGGCCUGCUCUAACUAAAUACUCCAAUAGGGGAGGCAUUGCCAGAAGAAUAAACAUUUGCAUGCUUCCCAUGCAAACCAACUCCCUAAAUCACCUGGACCUUAUGUGAAAUAUUCCUUGAACAAGCUAUUCCCAGUUAUCCUGCAAGGUUUCUGAAGGGACAAUGGCCUAUUGGGUCAUGGGGAGGGUUUGUGCCAUGCUCACAUUGUACUGCUCUAAGGAGUUACAGUGCCAUCAAAAGAAGCAGAAGCCACCAGAGCCAGGAUCUGCAAAUGUCACUGAGCAGCUGCUCUCUUUGCUCUUCGCUGAAGCACCUGGCAGUGCCCUUGGGAUGCUUGUCUGGGUGUAACCCUGCAGACAGAAUAUGGCAGGUGCUAAUUUCCUCAUUCUGUUUCCUUUGAUCUGUCCUCACAAAGUACAGCUUGUUCAAAACAACUGAAGGAAGCAGAACCCAUCCGUUCUCUCAGAAUUAUUUUCUGGGAAAAUCUGCACAUUGGCUUUGGAGGUUGCUUGUGGAAAUAAACCCAGUAUUGCUUAAAAAUUUGUUACACUUCAAGAACCAUUUUGAAACUUGAUUCAUUUCUAAUUAAAGUGAAAUAUUGAAGCCAUGUGAGGAUUUUGAUAAGUUCAGCGUCUGUUGCAAGCACGGUUCUACCCAAGUUCUUUUCUUUUGGGGGCUGGCUGCUAUUGUAGCAUUUUACAUUAUAGUUUCUGAAUUCACCCCACACAGUCUCAUUGACUUCAGUGGGAAUUUUCCAAGAACAAGGAAUUAAAUAGUCUUCAGAAUUAGUUCCCCCAUGAAUUCAGAAUAUUAGAUAUCUGCUCAAGUUAUGUUACGUGCUGUCAAUUUUUUACCUGUUAAAAUUCUUGGAGCAGAUGCAAUAAAACUUAAAGCUUGAUAAGAAAAGUUGCAGAUAGUUUGUAUUCUCUGCAGAAGUCUGGGAGUUUGGGAAAGAUGCUCUGAGGUUCUCUUUCAGAAAGGAAUUUUGUGUGCUAAGCCCCAUUUUUCACUGCUGUCAAUUCUGCAUGACUUUGGUGUUCUGCAUUUAAAUAAAGAGAAAUAACACA